AAUGAACGCUGGCGGCAGGCCUAACACAUGCAAGUCGAACGCUCGUAGCAGUACGGGAGUGGCGCACGGGUGAGUAACGCGUGGGAACGUGCCCUUGAGUUUGGGAUAACAGCUGGAAACGGCUGCUAAUACCAAAUACGCCCUUCGGGGGAAAGAUUUAUCGCUAAAGGAUCGGCCCGCGUAAGAUUAGGUAGUUGGUGGGGUAAUGGCCUACCAAGCCUACGAUCUUUAGCUGGUCUGAGAGGAUGAUCAGCCACACUGGAACUGAGACACGGUCCAGACUCCUACGGGAGGCAGCAGUGGGGAAUAUUGGACAAUGGGGGAAACCCUGAUCCAGCCAUGCCGCGUGAACGAUGAAGGCCUUAGGGUUGUAAAGUUCUUUUGUCAGGGAAGAUGAUGACGGUACCUGACGAAUAAGCACCGGCUAACUUCGUGCCAGCAGCCGCCGUAA
rnacentral:rRNA from 1 species